rnacentral:rRNA from 1 species
GAUGAACGCUGGCGGCGUGCCUAAUACAUGCAAGUCGAGCGAACAGAUGAGGAGCUUGCUCCUCUGACGUUAGCGGCGGACGGGUGAGUAACACGUGGAUAACCUACCUAUAAGACUGGGAUAACUUCGGGAAACCGGAGCUAAUACCGGAUAAUAUAUUGAACCGCAUGGUUCAAUAGUGAAAGACGGUUUUGCUGUCACUUAUAGAUGGAUCCGCGCCGCAUUAGCUAGUUGGUAAGGUAACGGCUUACCAAGGCAACGAUGCGUAGCCGACCUGAGAGGUGGAACGGCCACACUGGAACUGAGACACGGUCCAGACCCCUACGGGAGGCAGCAGUGGGGAACCUUCGGCAAUGGGCGAAAGCCUAACGGAGCAACGCCGCGUGAGUGAUGAAGGUUUCCGGAUCUUAAACCUCUGUUAUUAGGAAAGAAAAAAUGUGUAAGUAACUAUGCACGUCUUGACGGUACCUAAUCAGAAAGCCACGGCUAACUACGUG